ensembl:snRNA U6 U6 spliceosomal RNA
GUGCUUGCUUUGGCAGAACAUAUACUAAAACUGGAAUGAUACAGAGAAGAUUAGCAUGGCCCCUGUGCAAGGAUGACACAAAAAGUUGUGAAGUGUUCCAUAUUUGA